AAUCGCCCCACAUGUCAGCGGUUGGUCGCCUCGCGGUGCAGUGCUGGGCACGCGAGCCCCUCCCGCAGUCAUUCUCAGCACAAGCACCAGCCUGGAGCCCCGCAGCGACAGAGCUGAGAGCCCCCAAGCCGCAGAGGUCGUGCGGAGCAGGUUGCAAAUGUCUUAGAAACACACUCCUGGACCACAGCUUCAAGAGACGCAAGCAGUCACCUCAUCUGCUGGUUUCCAAGCUGCCCUGCCAGAAGCAGGUCAGGGGUCCCACAGGGGUCCUCAGUAACUCCUCAAAAUCCUCUCCCAUCAAUGGCCCCACCAGAUCAUCCCUACUUUUGAAUGCUUGUCCAAUGCAGGUUCCAGGCCUAAGGCAAUAGCUAAUUGAGACUAUGCAUCACUAUUAAGGCAUCUUCACUAAAGGGCGCUGUGGAAACGCUGCCUGAGAUGCAGACACCUGUCAGAAGGGGGCUAAAUUUCAAACAAGGAACGUGGUGUUGCAUCACAAUAAAGUAGAUUCUAGUAUUACCUUCCUUUUUCAGAAGAGGAGACCAAUGGGGAGCAUUGGAAUGAUUUGGUUGCAAGCAUACUACACUACUUGUAAACUGCAGACACAGGCUUAAAAAAAGUGAAAAACUAACCAUGCAAUAAAGAAUGGAAUGAACCAUGAAGCUGUUUCUGUGGCCAGUCAUGUUUUUGAAGCAUAUCCCAUGCUAAUUUCUAGAACAGAAGAAACACACGUGUUCUUGUGUGUAAACCCAGUCCAUGGAAGAGACCGUCUGCUUGUCCCUCCUGAUCUCUGGGCCCAGACAACCAGUAGUCACCAUUCCAAGUGAGGGGUGGCUGCAACUCUACAGCCCCGUUCGUCUCUCCUCACUGUCAAAGCUGCUGAGACCCCAGACUCGACACUUGAAAGAAACCCAUGUCUGUGAAGCACUUGUGGACCAUUCAAGAUUGUGGAAGAAUCACUCAAGAGAAGGAGAUAGGUGAUGGGAUCUAGCUUCUGAUGGUUUCUAUUUUAUUGAAUGUCUAAUAGGGCAAGAAUUUGAAAAACGAGAAUGUUUGCCAUGCAGGAGGACCUGGGAAGGAGAUAACACAUUUACAGGGAGAAAGAUUGGGAUUCAGUUGGGAGGAGUAACUGAGGAAAGGGGUCACUCAAAAUAUUUUGUAUUUUAGGUCCUUUUUCUAUUAAGGAGGAAUGGAUUAUCAAAGCCUUAACAUUAAAUUGUAUUGUGUCAGGUGAAUUGCUAUGGUUUGAAUGUGGUGUGUCCCCCUCCCAAACUCACAUUGAAUUUUUUUUUUUUUUUUUGAGACGGAGUCUCGCUCUGUUGCCCAGGCUGGAGUGCAGUGGUGCGAUCUUGGCUCACUACAAGCUCUGCCUCCCGGGUUCAAGAGAUUCUCCUGCCUCAGCCUCCCGAGUAGCUGGGAUUACAGAUGUUCGUCACCACACCUGGCUAAUUUUUGUAUUUUUAAUAGAGAUGGGGUUUCACUAUGUUGGCUAGGCUGGUCUCAAACUCCCGACAUCAGGUGAUCCACCCACCUCGGCCUCCCAAAGUGCUGGGAUUAGAGGAGUGAGCCACUGCACCCAGCCUCACGUUGAGGUUUAAUUGCCAUUGUAACAGUAUAAAGAUGUGGGACCUUUACGAGGUGAUUAGGCAAUGAGGACUCUGCCCUCAUGAAUGGAUUAAUGCUGUUAUCAUGGGAGUGGAUUCCUUAUAAAGGGACACGUUCAGCACCCCCUUGCUCUCUCUCUCACCUUCCGCCAUAUGAUGAUGGGGCACAAAGGCCAUCAUCAGAUGUUGGCCCCUUGUUCUCGAACUUCCCAACCUCCAGAGCAGUAAAAAAAUAAAUCACUGUUCUUUAC
rnacentral:lncRNA from 1 species